GGGUGUAGCUCCAAUUGGCAGAGCAGCGGAUUCCCCUGAUUUUGGGAAUUGGCGCGUGUUGGGAGUUUGAAUCUCUUCAAGACCCA
rnacentral:tRNA from 1 species